AACAAUGGAGCGAGUGGCGAACUGGUGAGUAACACGUGGGGAAUCUGCCCAGAAGCAGGGGAUAACACUUGGAAACAGGUGCUAAUACCGUAUAACAACAAAAUCCGCAUGGAUUUUGUUUGAAAGGUGGCUUCGGCUAUCACUUCUGGAUGAUCCCGCGGCGUAUUAGUUAGUUGGUAAGGUAAUGGCUUACCAAGGCGAUGAUGCAUAGCCGAGUUGAGAGACUGAUCGGCCACAAUGGGACUGAGACACGGCCCAUACUCC
rnacentral:rRNA from 1 species